CGGACGGGUGAGUAACGCGUGAGUAACCUGCCUUACACAAGGGGAUAGCCGUUGGAAACGACGAAUAAUACCCUAUGACAUAAACUCUUCGCAUGAGGAGCUUAUCAAAGAUUUAUCGGUGUAAGAUGGACUCGCGUCUGAUUAGCUAGUUGGUGAGGUAACGGCCCACCAAGGCGACGAUCAGUAGCCGGCUUGAGAGAGUGUACGGCCACAUUGGGACUGAGACACGGCCCAGACUCCUACGGGAGGCAGCAGAG
rnacentral:rRNA from 1 species